rnacentral:lncRNA from 1 species
UGUAUGGUAUGUAGUCUCAAUCUUCAGCUCAUAAAUGCUUUUCACAAGAUAUCAUUUUUCAAGUAUUUUUGCAUGCUUUUUGAAGAUAACCCAUCCCCUUAUUAAAUUGAAUGCAAUGAUGGGAAAUAUUUUUGGCAAUGGAAAGUGGAGUACUUGUUCUAACUUGUGUUAUAACCAGGUUGGAGAGUGAUUAUGCAUUGAUGUGCCAACCAUAUUUAUUGUUUAGUCACUCAAAUUGAACAAGAAAUUGGUGGUAUUCUAAAGUAUUAUGAAAUAGAAGCCAAGCCUUGACAUUGUACCACGUAGCAACUCUAUUGUCUUUGUGUAUUGAUUUUGGC